CAAGGCCACCGAAGAUGGGCAGAGAGCUAGAAGAUCGUGUGGUGCAGCCUUGGCCACGAGGAAGGCCCGAGGAGCCAGGAACACAGGCUCCCCAAGGGGCUGGGAGGGCAGGAAAUGGGUCCUUCCGGAGGGAGCCUGGCUCGGCUGAUGCCUGGAGCGGCCUUCUGACCUCCACAACCGGUAGGAGGUAAACAGGGGCUGUCUGAAGCCACCUCUUCAUGGUGAUGUUAGCGCUGCCCCAGGAAACUCACAGACAAGGAAGCAGCCCAUGACGGGGACCCCUAUCUGCAUUUGAGGCACUCAGGUGGGGCAGUGCCUGGGAGGACACCACAGCCCAUCUCUGGAUGUGAGAGGUCGGGGGAGAAGACACUAGGGAGCUGGCAGGGACAGGAAAUGCCCCUGCCCAAGCCCACCUUUGUGUCUGCAGAAACCCCGCAGCCGCCAUGCCCUGGCAUCCAGGCCAAGAGGCCCUGUCCUCAGGGCAAGGAGCUGUGUGUGGCCUCCACCUCCCGACCCACAAAGGGCCACGAGUCAAGUACCAAUGCUGGGUGGGCAGCUAGGCACAGAUGCCAGUGUUCAAGUCAGCAGUGACCAGGGAAUCUGAAAUGCAAGCCCCAGUAAGCCUUUAGGAACCUUCCUAGCCUGAGCACUUCUCCACUAUUCGGGGCAUAUUUGAAAUAAUCCUCUGUAUCAUGAAACGCAGCUCCCCACUUCUGCAGAGUCACAGCUGGGUGUCAGCCACCUCGACUCUCACAGCAGCUGGACGCUCCCACCUAUUCCUUUAGAACUCCCGAUGCAUAGCCACUUAGAUGUGAUUGCCUGAUGGAUGUAAUAAGACAGUUAUUUAGUUUAUUUAAGCUAUUCAAAUAUUAUCUGAUUAUUUAGAAACAUUUAUAGGGGCUAAUUAUAAGUAACUGUUGAUCAGGAACGGAGCAGCGAUAAGAUUAAUCCUCGGUAACCACAGCUCUGACAAGUAGCUGGUAUUUAUUUAACACACAUUAAAUGAUUUUAAAUCCGCAUUAAGAGAGCCUUGGGCUUAGCAAAGUCUUGGGGACACCGAUUACGAUAAAGUAGCCGUCACCCCUGGCCCUCUGGUGUGGAAUGAGAUGGGUCAGCAGAGGCCAAUUCUUACUGACUACUGGCUGUGGAAGGAAGACUCCAGCAGUUGAGGGAGAGAGCAGGGCCCGGGCGUGCGGCAGGAGUGCAGACCCAUGCACAACUGGCACCUUGCUGUCCACACGGGACCCCGGCCCACAGGCCUUCUCUACUGCAAGGAGGGAGCAGCUGUCCAGGGCCCCUGGAAUCAAGGACAUUUGCUCAGGGGCUCUGCUCUGCAUGUCGCUGCCUAUGAGUCCUGAUGCGCCCCAGCAAGGGAACUGAACCCUGUGCCAUCUGUCUGUGCAGCCUUGUGGAGUCUGAUAGCUUUGUGCCAGCGUCGUUAGUUGAGAACCAGUGGUGGUAGUGGGCUGGGUACCGAGGGGCCAGGAGGGACAUGGUCCAUGCCAGCCAGUGCCGGCCGAGAGUGAGCAGCCCCGUUUCUGCUUCUCCGAGGUCGGGAUAGGACCCUGCCUGCAGUCGAGCAGCAGGUGGUCGUUGCACAGGGCUACCAAUGGCCCUGCCAGGGUCUGGUGCCUCCCUGGGAGGCCCAGGGGCCCAGCUGCUGCCUCAGAUCAGGGCUGCGUGAGCUCAGAUCCCCUGGGCCAGGACGUUUACUAACCUGUGCUGAAGGCCAGGCAGUGACCAAGCAGCCACAGCUCACGGUGGCUGGCCUGGGCCUGUGGCUUCUGACUCACUGGAAUGAAGCUGUGGGGGUAGCCUGAGGCCCUCGGCUUGCCCAAGGGUGUAGUGACAACUGCAUCCUGUGCCCAGGCCCCUUGCCGGAUGCCACCUGGGUCUUCUCUCCAGAACCUGGGGUGGGGCUUGCUUUGCCUUUGCCCAGCCCCCAGCAGUUUCCUUGGCUCUGACACAGUGCCACCUCUGCGUAGGUGAGGCAGAAUGGGUUCUAAAGCCUGGGCUGGGCAGGAACACCCUCUACUGCCACACUCAGCGUGCCUUCCUGCUGAAUACCAGCUGCAGUCCUGGGCGCCCACAGAGGAAGUGACCCCUUGGCUCCAAUGCCUGGCCGUUGGGGGGACUCCUGGCCAGAGGCUGGGCCUCCUCCAUCGUCGGACUGCAGAAACCCUAACCUGAAGGCCUGGUUGGGACCCUUCCUUCCCCCUGCUGCCCAGGCUAGGGGCUGGCACCUGCUGUGGCCCGUGGGGGACAGUAUGAGUGGCAGUGGAGAGCCAUAUGGUGCUCUGAGCAAGUCAGCACAGGCUCUGGGCUUGUCAGCAUUGGCAAAGCAGCAUGCAACUUACAUAAUUUUUCCUUGAAGUGGGAGAUUUUCCACUUUAGCAGAAGCUUGUGGAAACAGUCUCUGCUGGGUGGCUAAUUCCUCUCCGGCUCCGCAUUCUCUGCACUGCAGUUCACAGGAUUUCCCAGCAGGCGAGAAUCCAGGCUGUGCGCCCAGCGGGUAGUGGCUGGGCCCCUCUCCCCAGUGAGCAGCCCCAGGUCCGUGUAGGGUACUAUUCUCAGGUUUCCCUGAUGGCUGCCCUGAUACAGCGGCCACCCCACUUUCACAGUGAUUUAGAACAAAUCAGCAAAUCUGAGCUGUGAGAACUCAGUGUGACCCCACUCUGGUCUCCCUGUUCAGACGGGCCACAGUUGUCCCUGCUGGAGAGGGCAGUGGUGGAAUAUUCCAGGCUUCCCCAGGACACCUCCUACAGGGGGCACUCUUGUCCCAGAAGCAUGGCACAGAAGCAACAGACAGAAGCUCUGUGAGGUUUUGUUUUGGGGACCCAUGAGCUAGCCACACAGCCACGGGAAUUCAACAAGAAGUGGAGACUUGGUCACCAAGUGUGCCGCCCCUGAAAUCUCACACGUGUUUGCCAAGGUGGUGUGAGACCCUUCUCCCUGUUUACGGUCCAGGAUGGGUGUGAGGCCUCUGUCCUCUUCCAACAGAGGGUUGGGCUGAGGUGUGCGGGGACCUGGCUGGGGACACCCCACCCAUGAGAGCUGAGACUCUCGGGCCAGCGGCCUCCUGGGUCUGCCCUGGGCCACUUUCUUCUCUCGAUUGGAGCCAACCCCAGCAGCCUAUUUGUCCUGUGUACUCAGCAGCCCAUGCACUGUACCCAGGCCUCCUCCCCACUCUGUGUUCCACCUGGUACAUGGGACAGAGGCCAAAGCCAUCAGCACCUGAGGCCUCUGUCAGGACCCUGAAUUCCUCUUCCCUAAGUGGCUCCACCCUGGGAUCCCAGGGCAGGAGAUUGGGGCUGAUGGGCCUGGGGAAGGGAGGGAGGAGAAUGCAUGGGGGUCUCUGCUGUCUUGGAAGAUGGCAGCAGGCAUCUGUGUGUCCCUUGUCCCUGCCAGCUUUGAUCCUCUGUGUGUUUGCCUCAUGGUCCCCAGUUAGGAGAGGGCAGGCUGCAGGCGACUCCUGUUCUGGGGUGUCUGCAGCUCUGCAGCUUGGGGUUUAGCUCCUUGAGAAUCUUUGUCCCAGACGAGGGUGGAGAGGUGCAGGGGCAGCCACCUGGACCUGUUUCCAAGGAGGGUUUCCGCUGUUUAUCGACAGGGGUUUCUAGAACGCUGCAGCCAUUGCAUGACAGAGGUGGCGUGUUUGGCAUCUCCUUGCUGUGUUCCCCUCAUCAGUGUCUGCUGGGUGUGGCGGAGGAUCUGUGAGCCUGAGCGCCGCUGGCUGUAAGCAGGGAAAGCAGAGGUGUGGAGGGAGCCCAGCUUCCAGAAGUGGCCUGAUACCUGAUGUUGUGGUCAGGGGUUGUAAGAAGAACAAUUACAUACAGGACACACCACUUAUAGUAUUAUUUAUAGUGGUCACCCAACAAGUCAAAUACAAAGAAAGUGAGGAAGUCUGUCCACAAUGCUAAACACCUAGAGAAUCGAGCUGAGGCCUGGAUUCCCACGGCAAUGUCCCACAUGGGUUCAGCCGAAGACCUACAGCCCAUGACAAUGACUCGUGCAAGUCUGUUUCACGGAUCUGCGCUGGGAAGACCCAAGGUCAGCGGUGGAAGCUAGAAAGUCUGUGCCAGCGGAGUGAAGGAGCUGUGCCAGCAGGCUGAGGUUUCUGUACAGGAGCCAGGAAGCGAUGCUCCAAAUAAGGACCAGGGCUCCCCUGAAAUGUGCCACAGCCAUCCUCAGGGAUAAUGACAUCCCGAGCUCCUCCAAAGAUGAGAACAGCCAAGUUCAUAUCAGGAAGCCAGCUCGACAAGCUUCUGGAGACAGAGCAGCACACAUCUUCUCUGGGGCCAGGAAGCCAUGCUCAAAGUAGGACCAGACGCCCACUCCCAAAGUGAACUGCAGCCACGCUCAGCGAUGAAGUUCUGAGCUUCUCUGAUGCUAACAGCCGAGUGCAUAUCAGGGAAGCCAGCAUGAUGAGCUCCUCGAGGAGAACCAACAGCUCCAAAUGGCAACACUUAGGAGAACCCACAACAUGGCUCUUCCUAUCCAGGUCUCCUUUUUAUGCUGGCAGCAGUGCUCAGGUGCACUGUGCUGGAUAGAUAGGUUUUGGCACCAACACACAAACCCUUCUGGGCGCGGACCGUGGCCACAUGGCCCCCUCUGCAACAGUGAUCAGUCCUCGCUCGGUACAGGUCUCUGCGGCGACCCUCGGGCACAGCCUACAACUGGCUGGAGGGGGACUUUCCUAUAAUAACCUAAGAUGCCCUCCAAGGAGAAAGCAGUGAACUAAUACGCUACAGCUUCAUAAACUCCAUCUCUGUUGCUGAUCUAGUAAAACAAUCUAGAAGUCACUCUGGUCUAAAAAUCUUCUUGGUGGCAGACUUCCUCAUCCAAACUUUUUUUGGUGUUCCCAGGUGGGCAGAUGGGAUGGAUUUCCCCAGGCCCCCUGCCCAAGGCCGAUGACAUGUAUCCCUGAUCGGGAGUUUUAGACCUUGAGAUGGCUUUAGCCUGGUAACUAGUGAUGCCGGGUUUGGCCUGUUUAAUUUGUCCUUUGUUCCAAAAGUCUUAAAUGUUUCUGGCAACAGUAGCUGGAGCUGUGCUGCUGUGGCUGUUCCUCUGUUCCAGCAAGGUUCUACUGCUGGUGGAGCAGGGAGAUGGUCUGAGGGUGACAGCACCGGAGUGGCCAGGGGGGUGGAUGGAUGGACAGGUUCCCUGUGGGUAGAUGAGGGAUAGAUGAAGGAUGUGUAUGUGGGGGAAUGGGUAGACUGAGGGAUGGAUGAAGGAUGCACACGUGGGCGGAUGGACAGAUUGAGACCCAGAUAGAUGUAUGGAUGUUGCAUAGAUGGGUGGGUGAGUGGCUGGCUGGGUAGAUGGGUGGAGGAUGGAUGUGACGGAUGGAUGGAUGGAAGUCGGAUAGGUGGGUGGCUGGAGGGUGGACACACAGACGGAUGAAGGUAGAAUAGGUGGGUGUGUCAGAGGACAGAUGUGUGGGCGGGUGGACAGAUGGAUGAGUGGACACUGACCUAACACAUGACAGAUGUUCUAUUUACAUCCUAUCAUCCUUUAUAAUCAAUUUCAGAAUGUGUACUAUAAAUCUGUAUCAACCCUGCUCAAAUCUACAUGUUAAAUUUGCAACUUGGAGUAUGUUUAGAAUCCAUUAUUUUUAAUAGAAAACCUAAGUCCCAAGCGGGGCACCUGUUUAACGGAUAGAGCGCCAGGCUCGGGCUGCCCUAAGUCGCCCACACACGCACGCAGCUACCCUGCCCUGGUCCUGGUGGCCUGGUCUCUCUGGACGCACUCUUUGGUUGUCUGCUUGCUUUUGCUUUUAGCCUGGAGUCUCCCUGACUUUCCCUGUUUUAUCUCCUCACAUCCUGGGAAAAUGAAAAGAGCUUUUCCAUCUAAGUAAGUUGUGCAGCCCCAAAACUCAAAGUUCAAGUCAAACACGACUCGAUCACAGGAACCUGGACAGGGCCGGAAACCCAGGGCCGAUGCAAGGGCCUUUGGGGCCAUCCCAGGGCUGAGAAGAGCCGGGAAGACCUUGAGCCUUUCCCAGUCGGUACCUGGUGGUCCUGGGACUGAGCACAGCCUGGGAGACCCACAUCCUGCAGACAGCACUUUACAAAGCCUCUUCCUCACUAGCAUUUAGCAGAGAAACUUUGACAAGGCCUGACUUUCCAAGGCCCAAACUGAAGAACCUAAGAAGCAUUUUCUGUUGUCUUCCAUAGCUCAGGAAAUUCCAGGAAAAGGGAUUUGGCUGGCUGCCGGGUUUCGGUUGGCUUUGCAUUCUCUCUGCAGCAUCCCCCUGCCCCCGGUUCUGGAGCUGAAGCCAGGUCUCCGAGCCAACACCUUUGCGCGGUGGACUUUCCUCCCUGGUUCUCUGUGAUUCUGCAGAAAGGAGUUUUUUCAAAAGUAAAGGUCUGGGCCUGGGGUUUAGCUCUGGGGAGCAAGCGCCUGCUUGGCAAGCAUGAGGUUAGGAGUUUGAUCCUUGGUACCAAACGAAACAAAACAACAAUAAAAACCGAGGGUCUGCUAUUUGCCAAGAAUGAACAGGAGACACCAACUGCCGUGAGAAACACACGGUGGCCUCCUGCAGGGCAGCAGCAGAGGAAUGUGCUGCCCAGCUAGGUGGUCUGGGUCCAUCCCUGGGGCGGUGGGUGGCAGGCAGGGGACAUCUGGACACCCACCGACACCACGGUGGGUGCCGGCUGGCCCUGCAGACGUGUUUUUUAUCAGCAUCACUGCUCCUCUGCUGUCCCUUCCCUCUCACGCUGCAGACAUUUUGAACCUCCUCUCACCACUGCCCACAGGCCGGCUCCCUGGCUGCUCUUGCCCUUCCUGUGCCUGGGAAUCGGGCCCAGCUCCUCACAUCUGCACUUGGCGAAGUUGUGCAGAGGCUCUGAGACCCUGUGCCAUGGUGCAGCUCCCAGGGAGGGUCUCUUUCCUCGUGGCUACCGUGUCCAGGUCACCCACAACACCAUCUUCCAGGACUCCCCUGUGCCCUCUGCCCUGUGUGGAGUGGCCUUUGAGGCCACAGAGAAGCUCAGAGGCAGAGGGCGCUGCAUACUCAGAAGUGAGACCCACAGUGACCCUGUAAUGCAUAGGCCGUCCCUUCUCCUCCUCUCUGCUCAGAAUGUAGUGGGCCAGGCCUCAAAGUGACCUUCAUGGGCCCAUGUGUGGGUGGCAGUGAUAUCUUUCUGCACAGAGUUUGCACAGCUGUGCCGGAUGGGAAAGCUGGAAAGGUCACUGAACUGGGCCCAGGAGGCCCUUGAGAUCUGGGGGUGACAGACAGCUCUUUGCUGGUACACUUGCUGAAGUAUCUGCUGGCAUCUGAGACUGGAGCAAAAUCCAAGCACCCUUGCAGGGCUCUCACAGCUAAAGGUGCCCUCUCACCUUGCUUUAGUCCUCCCUUUGAAGUUUGGUGCUCCCAGGGCUGUGGGGAGUCGGCCUGUGUGGCCUGCUCUUGAAGCGGCUUGGUGCAGCCUGAUGUGAGCAUGGGCCCCUAGGUGGGCAGCGGCCAGCAGCAGCGUGAGAAGCAGCAGCGGGGUGGUGGGGACUGAGCCAGCCAGGGCUGAUGCAGUCGAAGGCGAAGCUGUAUCUCACAUGCAGGGAGAGGGCCACUGACAGCCACCGUCCCUGUUGUGCAAGGAGAGAAGUGUGCAUGUGGUCUUUUGCUUCAGGGAAUUUUAAAUGUGUAUUUUAUGCAGCAUUUUUUGGUUAAAAUGCUGGGAAUGAGCUCCUAUUUCUGAAAUCUGUGUUGGGGUCAGACAGAGCACCUCUGUGUGCUGAGCGGGUUUAGGCUGCAGCACACACAGGCGCAGCCUGGGGCUGCCUCACAGGUCAGUGGGCUUGGGCACUGCCCAGGUCUGGCAUCGGGCGCUUCCUGCACCCGCAUUUCCACAAUUCCAGGACACUCUCACUCCAUCCUGGCUGGACUGCCUCUGGGACACAGGACACGAGCUGAGUGGCACAAGACCACCUCUUCCCCUUUGAGCCUCAGGCCCAGACAGGGGACCCCUGGUCUUGCAGGCCCCAGGGCAGCAGGUCCCAAACCUUGAGAGUCACUAAUUAGUGAUCCUAAAGAAUGCAGGGAUCUGCUGGGGCUCUGACUGUUUCUAACCAAGCAAGAAAUCUGUCCCCACCUCAUCACUAGCCGCCUCCUGCUGCUCUGUCCCCUAGGCCUGCGCGGCAGCUGGGGCGUCUAGGUGCGGCAGCUGGGGCGUCUAGGUGAGUCUAAGCCACAUGAGGUUCCCUGGGCUUAGGAUGUGAUGCUGCUGGGCCCUUCCCCCAGCCACAGGCCUGCCCCUGCCCGAUAGUCGGGCUCUGUGCUCUCACCCUGUCAAGGCCACCAUUCUUUAGCCACUCUGAGCUCCUCCUCUCCUGACCUUUGUGCUCGGGGUUCCUCUGCCCCAGGCCCUUGCCCUCCAGAUCACAAUGGUUCCCCUGCUGCCAUGUUUGGUUUUCUCAUCAGAAUCAGCUGUCUCUGACAGGCUGCAGGCAGCCCUGUCCCCUGGUCCCUUGUGUCACCUGUUGCUUUGCUGGUCUUUCUCCUCCACUGCCAACCCCAUGAACACUGGACUUGGAUCCUGCUGCGUCCUCUCUCUAAGGGGCCUCUGCAGAGAGCACGCGGGAGCCCAACAUGGAGAAAGUGGAUGAGCGAAGAAUGAAUGAACAGGUGAAUGGCCACCACUGGCCAGCUGCGGAGCACGGCGCCACAUAACAACAUGUUCACCACAGCUUCUAGGAAGCCACACAGAAGAAUGCAAGUUACCCCUGUAUGUACAAGGGCUGUGGGCUGCCCAGCCCCGGCAUCCCAGGCAGACCGUGCCACGCUCACACUGUCCUCAGUGCAGCCACCCGGGGCAGCCCUGGGCCCUCCUGUCCAGCAUGGCGGCUGUGCAUCUCAGAGCUGGCCUGGACACCUGAGGCUCCAUGGCUGUGGCUGGGCUCAGGGUCUGCCAGGGCAGGUGUGUGAGCCCACACUCUGCAGCCCACCCCAGCGCUCCAGCAGCUCAGUGAGCAUGUUACAUAUUUUACAGUGUCAUAUAUUACAGUGAUGAUGGAAAUCUAAAAUAUUAAUAUAUUCUAAUUGAAUAUUCUCCAAUAAAUUAUCUGAGCAUUUGCAGCAA